UACGUAGGGUGCAAGCGUUAAUCGGAAUUACUGGGCGUAAAGCGUGCGCAGGCGGUUUUGUAAGUCUGACGUGAAAUCCCCGGGCUUAACCUGGGAAUUGCGUUGGAGACUGCAAGGCUGGAGUCUGGCAGAGGGGGGUAGAAUUCCACGUGUAGCAGUGAAAUGCGUAGAGAUGUGGAGGAACACCGAUGGCGAAGGCAGCCCCCUGGGUCAAGACUGACGCUCAUGCACGAAAGCGUGGGGAGCGAACAGG
rnacentral:rRNA from 1 species